UAAUAUUGCAGACGGAAACGGGCUGUAUACUCAUGCAACCGAAUUGACGUUUAAGCGAACUGUAAGCUCGCCGGCCAUGAG
rnacentral:sRNA from 12 species